GGACUACUAGGGUUUCUAAUCCUGUUCGCUCCCCACGCUUUCGCGCCUCAGUGUCAGUAAUGGUCCAGGAAGUCGCCUUCGCCACUGGUGUUCCUUCCAAUAUCUACGCAUUUCACCGCUACACUGGAAAUUCCACUUCCCUCUCCCAUACUCUAGCCAAUCAGUUUCAAAUGCAAUUCCUAGGUUAAGCCCAGGGAUUUCACAUCUGACUUAAUUGACCACCUACGCGCCCUUUACGCCCAGUAAUUCCGAUUAACGCUUGCACCCUCUGUAUUACCGCGGCUGCUGGCAC
rnacentral:rRNA from 1 species